AGAGGGAUGCAAGCCAGACCUGCAUACAGUUUCUUCCUUCUAUCUAGCCUGCUAGCCAAGGCUCAAAAGCUUCACCUCGAAGUCUUUGAAAGUGUCAAAAAUGUCAAUAUGAAAAUAUUAUGAGAAAAUUAUCAGUAUUUGAAAAAAGUGUCAAAUUUCGCUUUCAUUUUUGGUUGCAAAUGAACUGAAAAACAAAGAAUAGACCAAAAGAAAAGUCUCACUAGGACCCCACAAGGAGCUGGCAAACAAAUAAAGCAGCUAGCACAGAGGCAGCAAGAAACUUAUACAAUAUCAGCAACCAGCUAACAGUCAAACCAGCAAACCCAGAAACAAAUCAAACAAAAAUCAACACAAAACUAAUCCUGGUGUUGAAAUUACUAAAGAAAAGAAUAAAAUUAGAGAAAAAAGAAAAAAAAAACACUCAGAAUAAAAAAUAAUCAAAUAUUAAUAAGAUUUGAUUCUCUAAAUUUAAAAAAUAAUUUUUUUUUUCUUAAUUUUAAGAUAUUUAUUAUUCUCUCCCCCGUAUUCAUAGUACAAAUUUAUGAAAAGAAAUAAAUUGUCAAAUUAUCAAAUGAUUGGUGCAUUUGAUGGGUUAAUUACUUAGAGGAGAAAAUGAGUAGGAAAUUAAUGAUGGGAGGAGAAAGAGUGAGAGGAAAUAGUGGGUUCACAUGAGGGGAAGAUGAAGAUGAUGGGAGGAGAAAAUGAAAGGAAAAUGAUGGAAGAUGGAAAGAAAAGAAAAGGAUGACCUUUUCUCUUACAUUUAAAGGACAGAAGCCAUUAAUGGUGGGCUCUACUGAGGAGAAGAUGAGAGAAAAAGCGCAAGAAGAAAAGUCUUUGGGCUUUGUCCUCUUUCACAGCUGGGAAAGGAGAUACAGCAUAAGAUGAUUGCUUUCAUGGACCAAACUAGCAUCCAUCUUUUAUCAAAAAAAAAAAGUAUCUAAUAACAUAUCCCAUGGAUUUUUCAGAUAUUAUCAGAAAAGUAUUUUGUAAAAUAUUUCAUGGAUUUUGAUGGAUUUUUGGGUAUCCAUCUUUUAUCCAAAAAGCAUCUUGUAAAAUAUCCAUAGAUUUUUCGGGUAUCCACCCGUCACACAAAUUUGGGGAAGGAUAAAUGGUUUUUGGUGCUGUGAGAAUUUUAUUUUAUUUAUUAUUUUUUUAAUAUAGAUUUGGGAUUUUUUUUUAGAAUUAAUUAAUUAAAAAUGAUGAAAAUAAUCAUCAUAUAUGUGAAUUUAAUUUCUUUUAUAUUUUUAUUGGAAGAAUAACUCAUUUUUUACAUAAAUAUCCUUAACUAUUUCAAGUAUUUAUAUAUAGGUUUUAAAAGAAAUGGUUAUUUUUAUAAGAAAAUAAUAGAGACACUUUUAUCAAAUAUGACCAAAAAAAUAAUGGAUGAUUAAAUUUCCAAAAUUGGGUUUCUAAUGGUCCUUUUAAUUGAAUAACCAUUUUUUUAAUCCAAGUUAUUUUCGGUUAUUGUCUUAUUUCAUUUUGAUUAUACAUGUAUAUAAUUUAAUUUUUAAUUUAUUUUCUUUUGAACACAUAAAAAAAAUUCUACUUCUCAAAAAAAUAAAUGAUAAAAAAUUUAUAAAUUAUAUUUAUUUUUAAUAUAAUUAAAUUUUAAAAAAUAAAAAAGUGGAUAUUUAAUGAUAAAAAAAUUAAUUGGAGGAAAUUCUCAUAAAUGUGUGUUUUAAAUUUUUUUUUUUUUUAAAUAAGGAUGAUAAUUGGUGUAAAUAGUCUGAAAAGGAUAAGGUGGGGACCAUACUAAACCUCCACAUGGACCACAUUGCCAUCCUUGGAGGAAGUUCAAAAAAUAAGACUAACAACAAUAUUAUCAUUAGCCUUCUUAAACUUAAGUCUAAAAACACUAAUAUCAUAAUAUUUUUAAAAGUUUUAUAGGGAAAAAAAAAAAAAAAGUUUAAAAACACUAUCAUUGGCAUGUUCAAUUUUUCAAUGUUUGGCCACAAACUUCAUCCCAAGACUUAAAAGUGCUCCAUUAUAUCAAUGAUCCUUCGAAUCAAAGAAUUCUUCGAUGCACAUUUGGUUUUUCGUGUCCAAUAUACCUUUACAAGUACACAUCCAAAAUUUAAAAUCACUCCAUCACUAAAUACAAUAAAUAUGGAAUUAAAACAACACAAAAACUAGCUUAGCAAGUAGUAAUACAAUGAAAACAUAGCUAAUCUCAAGAUGUAAUGAAUAAGGCAUAUUUUAUAUGAGAUUUUUACACAAUAUAAAUGUGAGGCAUAUUUUUUCGUUGGACCGAUCAAUUGGGCCAGCUAUUUUGUAUGCAUUAAUUAUACAUGUGACUAUUAGAAAGUUCUAGGUCAAUCAACUAUAGUAUCGAAACCAAUCAAGGCUCACCCCAAUCAAUUGAGCAACUGAUAGCAAUAAUUUAUGGUGUCUUAUAAAAUUAACAAAAUAGUAAUAAUUAUUUAAAGUGUUUGUUUAGAAAAAUCACCAUAUCCAAAUGCAUAUUCUAAUUUUCCAAACAUUUAAAAAUCAAAAUAUAAAAAAAAUAAGAGAAUAAACAUCUUAAAGAAGCUUUAAACACCACCAUCAUAGUCAUCAUAAAAAUUAAAAUUAUCAUCACUUCCAUCAAAACUAGAUUGAUAACUCUCCAUCUCAUUAUCAUUUUGAUUAAUAAAAUAAUAAUGCACCUUACACUUUGUUUAAUUUAAUGUUAUAUUGAAUUAAAUUACAAUUUAAGUAAAUUUAAUGAAAUAUUUGGUUAAAAUGAAUGAAAUAAUCCCCUAUGAAUUUAACUAUUUUUAUAUUUUUUCUUAAAAAGUAACUCAUUUUUUACUUAAAUGUCAUUUUUCAUUUCAAGUAUUUACAUAUAGGUUUUAAAAGAGAUACAUUUUUAUAAGAAAAUAAUAAAGGUAUUUUUGUCUAAGUGAAACCAAAUAAGGAUAAGAGGUUAAACUUCAAAAUUUGGGUUUUUAAAUACCUUUUUAAUCAAAUAACCCAAAUUUAAUCUUAAUCCAUGGUUAAAGGCAACAACCCCUAUGUCUUGCACCUUAUCCUGAGACAAUCGCCUAAGUGUUGCUGCUUUGAAUCUACCUUGCAUGGGUCUUCAAGAAACAACUUUUAUCUACCCCGCCUAGGCGAUCCAAGUGAUUGCCUUUGAUAACACUGCCAAAGACUAGGAUUGGCAACACGUGAGUUUGGGAUUAGACGCUCAUCCCUAUUAUAUAAUUGUUUCUCAUUCCCUGCCCUAUCAAUGCAAACCCAAACACCAGAUUUUUCAUGGAUUUUAACCUUUUUCAUGGUCAAUCCUUGAACCAAGACCUCUUCAAAUCUUCUGCUUCAUCUUCGAGUUCAAGGCUUUCGAGGUCUUCCCAAGUUGUACCUUUGGACAAAGACUCUUAUUUCUUUUACAAUUAUGAAGAGUUCAAUGCAACCAUGAAGGAAAUUGCAACCACAAGAGCAACGCUCCAGAUGAUUAGGUCAUCUAAGCAUAUUUGCGAUAGGGAAAUGGUGUACCUUGAAGACACCAAUGACAAGUACGAUUGGGUGGUGGAUGGUAACGAUGAGGCCUAGGAUUAGUACAGUGCUGUUGCAGAGGAGUUUCAGUUGCUAAAGCUAAAGCAAGAGCAAUAUGGAAUGAGGUUUCAAUUAGUCGGUGGGAGGAAGAAGAAAUGGGGGAAGAAGUGGGUCCAUAUUCCAAAAUGAGGCCCGGCUUUUUGUGGGUUUUAAAAUGUAUUUGACAAUGAUUCUAAAAAGUGUUUCUAACAUCUUUAAUAUUUAAAGAUAAAAAUUUUAAAGUAUUAGAAAAAUUAAAAACACUUUCUAAAAUCACUACCAAACACACUCUUAAUAGCUCUUUACAUGCGAUAUGUUUCAUCAAUGUUAAGGGGAGUUUUUUGGUAUUUUCACAUUCAGCAAGUUCUGUUUAGCUACCAGAAAAACAGAGGAAAAGAAAAGAAGAGAAAGGAAAACCUGGGAAACUUACAUCUUGGAAGUAAAGGUGUGACAAAUCGGAUGAUAUUACUCUACCCGCAACCCUACAAAACUCAAACAGCUAAUGCAUAAUAAAACCCAAUAACAGUUUUUAUCAGUGAAGUCUUAUGGACAUUGUCAACUGCAACCAUGUAUCAGACAGUUCAAAUAGAAAGUUUACAGGUAUGAAAUUAUUCCAAACCUAAGUACAGCAGCAGGGGAUGGGGUCUGUUGUGCACUAUUUGUCAAAGGAGAGAAAAACAAGAACCUAAUGCAAAGUAUAAAGUCAAUCCAAGCGCAAAAGUCUCAUGUCAGAAAAAGUUUAUGAUGCUAUCUUUUCUAAAAGGGGGAUAACAUAGAAAAUCCCCAAUUACUCAGCCUACAGACUUCUCAAUAUAGUUCAUGAUAGCAAAAUGGCAAUCACGCUUGAUCACUAACAUUUUCUGCCAUUCCAAGAACCAUUUGAUCUGUCUCAAAAUUUCCGUUCUGCAAAGAAUGAUACAAAUAGAGAGAAUGAGUUAGAAUGAGAAGAAUGCAAACCAUGUUCAUACAUGAUAUAGACAGUUGACAGGUUUCUCACUUCUCCAGUCUGGUUCAAGGAAGGACUUUGUCCAGCCUCUGGUGCUGCCUUUGAGAGGUCCCUGAGGGUACCCUGCAGUUCAUAGACAUUAGAGACCGAAUAGAUAUUCACACCAACAUGAAUCCCCGAUUUGGAUCAGGUUUCCUUCCAUGUCAUACAUUUUCCUUUAUUGAAAUAAAUAAGUAACAACUCAUAAGAAAAUCUGCAAUGAUGAUACUAACAGAAAGGUAACUGAAAACCAAGUGGGAAAGGGGGAGAUUACAUUAAAAGUCAACAAAAGAAAUCACCAAGCUUUUAUCAAUGUGCAUAUAUGAAUCUUUUUUAUCCAAUAUUACUUUCUGAUUACAUGUGUAAGAACACUCAAAAGGGAGCAAUACACCAUAUUUCUCUGUUGCUGUUCUAAAGUGGGGCUUCAAAGCAAAAUUAUGAAUAAAAUAUUGGAAACAGAAAUUGUUUCAGAUUUUUUUUUAAAUGUAAAAAUUAGAAAACAAAAGCACAACCAAAUGGCACCAAAGGAUGUCAACUUUUCCCCCAUUUCAAUUUAUCUCCAGAUAUGACUUGUGAUAUACAGAAGCCCAGGGGAGUAAGGUUCGUGUCACCUAUCCCUGACAUUUAGCUAUAGUUCCCAUAUUCAAAGGUAAAAAAGAUCCAUACCAUAUGAUAUCCAAAAACAGGCUUCAAUACACUCCCCAUUCCUUUCCUAUAUAUUCUACGGAUUAUUUGCAUGACCCAUGCAACUACACCCAACAUCACCACCACCUAUGUUCCCCCCACUGCCACCACACUGCAACCCCCACACCCACCACAACAUUUGUUCACAAGCAUUGCAUGUGCCCAACCAUCAACAAUAAUUGCUACACCAUCCUUGCACAAGCAUGGCAACCAACAUCCUAUUGUCCUCUGAAAACACUUCAUUGAGUUUGAGGUGCAAAGAAGCAUUUUGCUUCCUAAUUCCUUUAGAGUGCGUUUGGUAGUGAUUCUGAGAAGUGUUUUUAGCAUUUUUAAAACUUGAAAAUAUUUAUUUUUCAAGUAUUAGAAAAGCUAGAAACACUUCUCAAAAUCACUGCCUAAUAUACUAUUAUUUAUUUCUAGUCAUAGCACCCAAGAGCUUUUUCAAACGUGGCUAAACUGCACAGCAACCAUAUCACAUAUAGAUCGAUAUGUAAAACAAUAGCUUGCACCAAAGCAGACUGAUGAUUGUCAUCUAAACUAAAAGAGAUAUGAUCUGGUAAGCUUUGUCACAAUUUAGAAUGGUGCAUCCAGAUCAGGAACACAAAUAUUGGAACAAAGGUAAGACAGGACUCUAGUCUGAUAGAACUUUGAUCUUGGAAAGGACCAAGGAUUAAAGCAUUUAACCAAAAAAAAAAAAAAAAAGCAUUAUAGUGUUCUUUUUGAAAUGGCAUCCACCACAAAAAAUAGUGUCUUAAGAAUCAUAGGAGAUAGUAAUGAGAUCAAUCAGAAUAGCAGCUACUUCCAAAUUUUGAUGUAUAAAUAAGCCUCUAAUAUUCACCUUGUUUGCCCACAUAAGUCCACAUGCAUUGCAAAGUGUCCUUGGCCCUUCCGGUCCACGACGCAUCAUUGGAGUAGAUUUCUCACUGAUGCCACAGUGGCGACACCUGAUGAAUUUGGAAGAAACAUAACAUAACAAAUCAAAACAUCAAAAAUUGCACAUAAUAAAUUAUGUAAGUUUAAAGAGAAGCUCUUUUAUGCUAUAAGAUGGAUUCCUAAUACAAAAGUGUGCUCCCAAUUCAAUUUGGUUCAUAAAGUUGAGAUGUUAUUAAGUAUCCAUCAUGGCUAUGCUAUAAGAUGGAUUGCUAAUAGCUACUUAAUGAAAACCCUGGGAAACCCACAAAACGUGAAGCUUAAAUAUGAUAACUCAGAAAUACAGUUUGAUUUCAUUGUGUAACCCCACUGGCCCCAAGUAUCUAACUACAACUUUAUUUUAGAACCCAAGAGAAUGCAUCUGCAACACCAUCCAACAUGCCCAACAUUUCAAGAAUUUCUUUUUCUCUUACAUAGAUGUCAAAAACAAUACCUAGAAACUGUCAUUUCAGAAAUUCAGCAUGCAAUGUUAUGUAUAGUUUAAAAUUUUAGCAUAGCAAAAGUCAGAUACUUUUCUGUUGUUUUACAAACUUAUCUUCUAGAUUUUAGUUGUUCAGGCAGUUGCUUUUACUAAGAAAUGAGUAUUUGCUAAAUGAAUAGCUUCAAAAGAAAUUAAAAUUUGACUCAUGAAAACUAGUGUGGGGUUUAGCAGAUGCCAGGGUGGUGAAACAUUUGUCCAACCAGAAGAGACAGUGCUUGUGAAAAUGCAGAAGCCACCAACUUACUUCAUGUCUGCAUUUAUUAUUCUAGGGUCGGGUGAGAGGCACUGGAGCAGCUUCAGAAGAACUCCCUCUGGGGUGGAUUGGAAUGAAAACGCAUUUUAUAAAAUUGGAGGUGGCUUGUAUGCUAACAAAAGCAUGGAGGGAGACGCGAGGGGAGAGAGACAGACACACACACACACAGAAGAGCUAGAAAUUACAAACUACUGAAAAAUAUGUGAACUUACACAAUCUCUUGAUUUAUGGGUCCAUUGCCAGCCAUACCCCAGCUUGACUCCCAGCCUGGUGUCGUUGAUGCAGAAUCAUCAUGAUUGGACUUUGAAGAUGUAAAUUGACCUUUAUUCCGUUGCAUCCUACAAUAUACAAACACAGAAGUAAUCAAGAAAAAAGGAAAGAUAGCACUCUUGCUGCCAACAAAGCAUCAGAAUUCUAGUAAAUGAGAAACAAAAUAAAUAAAUAAAAAGAAAAGAAGAUCACCAUAAAAGACAAAGCAGAGGUUGCGGAUAUGAAAAAAGAUUUGCAAAGUAUAUAACUACCAUCACAAAACAAUAGAGGAUGUUGAAUAUAAUGAAUUUAUAAUGUACAAUCUUUCCUUUUUUUAAUAUAGGUCACAUGUAUGGUAGUUAGAACUCCUAGCCUUGUAUAUAUAUAUUUUCUCAAUUGUAAGUAGAUACUACAUGAAUGAAAAUUAAGGUUUUCUUCUCUCUCUCUCUCUUAACAUGGUAUCAGAGCCAAGGGAGAAAACCUAAUUCUUUCCAGUUUCCCCGUGUCAUCAAUUCCGAGAAACCUUCCUGUGACCGUGUUUCAUUCCGGUCACCUUCCCUAGACCCCAAAGCUUUCCGGUCGGUCGAAUCGCCGUCAGAAAACAUUCACCGCCGGCGACUUUUCUAGCGACGUCUUUUUUUCGACACCGCAAGGAGCGCCUGGAGGAGAUCUCCAAUUUUUCCCAAAGCAUCAGAGCCAGAAAACCACCCACGCGCCGGCCACGCGCGUUUUUUCGGCCGGCGACUGCAUCUCAUGCGCCAGCGCGUGAGGGCGCAUGAGCCACUUUCCAGCGACGCGCUUCCUCCUCCAGCCUUGCCUGACGCCGACUAGCCACCCUUCAUACCUGUUUCUGCCAUCCGAGCCCUGCACAUGCCUCUUUUGGGGUUCUUUUGCCUCCGCCGGCCCUUCGAACAGUUUUUCUGGCGUCCUCCGACUAUUUUUUCUCAACCCCAAUCCCUGCACGUGCCUUGGGAAGUGUUCUUCUACCUUUCCGGUGGUGCCACGGUUGUUUUUCUUUUCUAUUUGGUCUCUCACAUGGGCGAUUCUUCGGUUUUUCCUUCUUCAGCCGCAUCUGAAGCCGUAUUAGGGCUCUCUUCGAUCCAAAUAUACUUCAUUCUCCAGAUAAGUGGAUAUGGCUACUAAAACUUCCAUUUUUUCCUCUGUCAUAUCUGGAUCUCCUAUGAUUACUUCGGAGAAAUUGGUUGGCAGUGAAAAUUAUUUUUCUUGGUCUGCCUCUGUUGAACUUUGGUUUAUGGGACAAGGAUAUGAGGAUCAUUUGGUUACACAUGAGGCAGAUAUCCUUGAGGUUGAGCGCGUACAGUGCAGAAAGAUAGAUGCCCAGUUAUGUAGUGUAUUAUGGCAAUCAGUUGAUCCCAAGAUCCUUCUUCAUCUUUGGGCCUACAAAACUUGUUUUAAAUUUUGGACUCAGGCCAAAGGAUUAUACACGAAUGAUAUCCAGCGUCUUUAUAAGGUGGCUUCUGCUAUUGUCCAUAUCAGCCAACAGGACUUGGAUCUAUCUACUUAUAUUGGUCAGAUUGUCUCUCUUAAGGAGGAGUUCUUGACUGUGAUGCCUCUUACUCCUGAUGUUGGGGCUCAACAAACACAGCUUGAUGAGUUCUUCAUGGUCCUUACUCUUAUUGGCCUCCGUCCGGAUCUUGAGCCUGACCGCGAUCAAAUUCUUGGUAGUUCAUCAGUUCCGUCCUUGGAUGAUGUGUUUGCUCGCCUCCUUCGUAUCUCGUCCACUCAGACUUUGCCAUCUGAUAGCAUUUCAGAUUCUUCUGUGUUAGUUUCUCACACUACCUCUCGAGGAGGACGCAGUGGUAACCGAGGUAGAGGCCAACAUCCUCAUUGCACCUAUUGCAAUAAACUUGGCCACACUCGCGAUCGUUGCUAUCAGUUACAUGGACGGCCUCCUCGCACUGCCCAUGUGGCCCAGUCCUCUGAUUCUCAGCUUCCUCAGCCUCCGAGCUCCUCCGCAUCUCAGGCAUCUCAGGCUUCUGUUGCCUCUGUUGCCCAGCCUGGAAAUGCUUUUGCCUGCCUUACCCACACAUCUUCUAUUAGACCCUGGAUUCUAGAUUCUGGAGCUUCUGAUCACCUAUCUGGUAAUAAGGAUCUUUUCUCCUCUAUUACUACUACCUCUGAUUUACCUACUGUUACCUUAGCUAAUGGUUCUCAAACUGUAGCUAAAGGUAUUGGUUUGGCCCUUCCUCUGCCUUCUCUACCUCUCACUUCUGUCCUUUAUACUCCUGAAUGUCCUUUUAAUCUUAUUUCCAUCAGCAAAAUCACUCGUACUCUUAAUUGCUCUAUUACCUUUUCUGAUAAAUUUGUGACCUUGCAGGACCGGAGUACAAGGAAGACGAUUGGCAUAGGACGUGAGUCUCAAGGCCUCUAUCACCUCACCUCGGAUUCAUCUCCUACAGUUUGCAUUUCCACUGAUGCUUCUCUCCUCAUUCACAGUCGUUUGGGCCACCCUAGUCUCUCCAAGUUCCAGAAGAUGGUCCCUCGUUUUUCCACUUUGUCGUCGCUUUUGUGUGAGUCAUGUCAUCUUGGGAAACAUACUCGUGUCUCGUUCCCAAAGCGUUUGAAUGAUCGGGCAAAGUCUCCUUUUGAGCUUGUCCACACUAAUGUUUGGGGUCCUUGUCGGACUGCGUCUACUUUAGGAUUUCAGUAUUUUGUCACUUUCAUUGAUGACUAUUCUCGAUGUACUUGGUUAUUUUUAAUGAAAAAUCGAGCUGAGUUAUUCUCUAUUUUUCAGAAAUUUUAUACUGAAAUCCAGACCCAGUUCAAUAUUUCUAUUCGUGUGUUACGCAGUGAUAAUGCCAGGGAAUAUUUUUCAGCCCCAUUUACUUCAUUUAUGUCUCAUCAUGGGAUUCUUCAUCAGUCUUCUUGUGCUCAUACUCCUCAACAAAAUGGGGUAGCUGAACACAAGAAUCGACAUCUUGUUGAGACAGCUCGUACUAUCCUCCUCCAUAGUAAUGUUCCUUUUCGUUUUUGGGGGGACGAUGUUCUUAUCGCUUGUUAUUUGAUUAAUUGUAUGCCCUCCUCUGUUUUACAUGAUCAGAUUCCUCAUUUCCUUCUCUUCCCUGACCAACCACUUUAUUUCCUUCCUCCUCAUGUCUUUGGUUGUACUUGCUUUGUUCAUAUUCUCACUCCUGGACAGGACAAGCUUUCCGCCAAAGCCAUGAAGUGCCUCUUCUUGGGAUAUUCCAGACUUCAGAAGGGUUAUCGUUGUUAUUCCCUUGAGACUCAUCGAUACUUUAUCUCCGCUGAUGUCACUUUCUUUGAGGACUCACCAUUCUUUUCCACCACUUCUGAGUCUCUUCCUGUUUCUAAAGUCUUGCCCCUUCCCAUUGUCUCCCCAUCUGAUGUUGUGCAUCCUCGACCACUUCAGGUUUAUCAUCGUUGCCCUCGUGUCGCUGCUUCUCUCCCUUUUGUUGAGGCACCUGUUGACUCACUUCCUAUCCCUUCGGCUUCUCCUGCCCCGGCUCUGCCUUCUCCUGAUGAUUUACCCAUUGCUAUUCGGAAAGGUACUCGCUCUACUCGUAAUCCUCAUCCUAUUUACAAUUUUUUGAGUUAUCAUCGAUUAUCUUCAACCUAUUCUGCUUUUAUUUCUGCUAUAUCCUCUGUUUCUCUUCCAAAGAGCACCCAUGAAGCUCUUUCCCAUCCAGGCUGGCGACAGGCAAUGGUGGAUGAAAUGGCUGCUCUGCACUCUAAUGGCACUUGGGAUCUUGUUGUUUUACCCUCUGGUAAAUCUACAGUUGGCUGUCGUUGGGUCUAUGCAGUUAAGGUUGGUCCUGAUGGUCAGGUUGAUCGCCUUAAAGCCCGCUUAGUUGCUAAAGGCUAUACUCAGGUUUAUGGUUCUGAUUAUGGUGACACAUUCUCCCCUGUUGCCAAGAUUGCUUCUGUCUGCUUGCUUCUCUCCAUGGCUGCUAUGUGUUCUUGGCCUCUUUAUCAGUUGGAUAUUAAAAAUGCCUUCUUUCAUGGUGAUCUUGCCGAGGAAGUUUAUAUGGAGCAACCUCCUGGUUUUGUUGCUCAGGGGGAGUCUGGUUUAGUGUGCAGGUUACGUCGUUCUCUAUAUGACUUGAAACAAUCUCCUCGAGCAUGGUUUGGUCAUUUUAGUUCUGUUGUUCAAGAGUUUAGCAUGCUUCGCAGUACAGCAGACCAUUCAGUUUUCUAUUAUCAUAACUCCUUGGGGCAGUGUAUUUAUCUGGUUGUUUAUGUGGACGACAUCGUCAUUACAGGCAGUGAUCAAGAUGGUAUUCAGAAACUAAAGCAACAUCUUUUUACCCACUUUCAGACCAAAGACUUGGGGAAACUCAAGUAUUUCUUGGGAAUUAAGAUAGCUCAAUCUAGUUCCGGUGUGGUCCUUUCCCAAAGAAAGUAUGCUUUAGACAUCCUGAAAGAAACUGGUAUGUUAGACUGUAAACCGAUAGACACACCUAUGGAUCCGAAUGUCAAACUUGUACCAGGACAGGGGGAGCCUUUAGGAGACCUUGGGAGAUAUCGACGGCUCGUAGGUAAAUUGAACUAUCUCACCAUUACUCGUCCAGACAUUUCUUUUCCUGUGAGUGUUGUUAGUCAAUUCCUACAGUCACCAUGUGAUAGCAAUUGGGAUGCCGUAAUCCGCAUUCUUCGAUAUAUCAAAAGUACACCAGGCCAAGGUGUGUUGUACGAGAACAGAGGUCAUACUCAGGUUGUUGGUUACACAGACGCAGAUUGGGUUGGCUCACCCACAGAUAGACGUUCCACUUCAAGGUACUGUGUUUCUAUUGGAGGUAAUCUAAUAUCUUGGAAGAGUAAGAAACAAGAUAUAGUGGCCAAAUCUAGUGCUGAAGCUGAGUAUUGAGCUAUGGCUUUGGCAACAUGUGAACUCAUAUGGUUGAGACAUCUUCUUCGAGAGUUGAGAUUUGGAAAGGAUGAACAGAUGAAACUCAUCUGUGAUAACCAGGCCGCAUUACAUAUUGCAUCCAAUCCAGUCUUUCAUGAAAGGACCAAACAUAUUGAAGUUGACUGUCACUUCAUUAGAGAGAAGAUCGCAUCAAGAUGUGUUGCUACAAGUUUUGUUAAUUCAAAUGAUCAACUAGCAGACAUCUUCACUAAAUCUCUCAGAGGUCCUAAGAUUAAAUACAUUUGUAACUUGGUGCAUAUGACGUAUAUGCUCCAGCUUGAGAGGGAGUGUUGAAUAUAAUGAAAUUAUAGUGUACAAUCUUUCCUUUUUUUAAUAUAGGUCACAUGUAUGGUAGUUAAGACUCCUAGCCUUGUAUAUAUAUAUUUUCUCAAUUGUAAGUAGAUACUACAUGAAUGAGAAUUAAGGUUUUCUUCUCUCUCUCUCUUAACAGAGGAUAAUUUAACUAAUAAAUGUUGAUGCUGCAAACAUGCAUGCACACAAUGCACAAAUCUUUUAAUUGAAAUCUAUAACCAAGUGCUUCCUUUUGUACAAAAUGUACCAUUUUAAACUUUACAACCAAGUACUUUUGUAUAAAUACCAUCCUAAAAUUUGAAGUCACGGAUUUCAUGAAAGAGGUUUAGCCACCAAACUUAGGCAACAACAUACACUUUAUCCAACAUGAUAAAAACAAUUUCAAAGAGUAUGCCUCUACAAAACAUAUCCAUGAAAUCAAUCCAUCCACUCUCUGAAAAAAUUAAUGACACCCAAUAGCAAAUAUGUAAUACAGCUUUCUUACACGACAAAAUCAGGGUUACUUUGGGAAUACAGAAAGGGUACACCAUGAACUCUGGUUCCCUUGAUAUAAAAAAUAAAAAAUAAAAAGAUAAAUAGUUUGUUCAAACAUCAAAAGAAAUGCAAGAGGCUGGAAGUGAAUAACAAACAUCUGGAAUCCAAGAACAAAUAUCUUUUUACCCCCAAAGACAAUGAAAGAGAAACUAAUGCAUUUGAAAGGAGCACAAAAUAAAGCAGCUAUUCAACAUCAUACAGCUUUCAUGUACUUUUAAGAAAAGGCCACAAAAUUGACCUAGUUUGAUGUGUCAUCACAAUCUUAAUUAUUCUAGAUUCAAAUACUUAAAUUAAUACUUGUUAUUCAGCUCAAACCAUCUAAAUAUUUAGUACAUAGAAAUAACAGAAGAUGCUAACCAUUCUGUCACCAUAACUGCAAAGACAUAACUUGUAUGCCAUGGCUUUUGCUCAAAUUGAUAAAACUGCACAUCUAAAUUAAUGAAAUCAACUGAUGCUUUUCCAAAUGGACAAUAUUUCAGAUUCAAAUCAUAAUAGUAACAGUACCCUCUAUGAACUAAUUAGAAAUGUAAGGAAAAGAAUCCAUAAAAAGGUUUAUACAUGUUGCAAGGGACUGAAGGCAAAUGCCAUACCUAAGUGCUACCUCUUUACGGACCGUAUAGCGAAUUUUCUUGUCAAAAUUACGUUCUUUACGCUUUUCUCGGAAUCUAAUCAGUGAGGCCAAUCUAUGAGGGACAUUGUACCGUUGUGGAGUACCAGGUAGUUCCUGUUAGAAUGCUUCAUUCAUGAGGUACAAGAAGAAACCAAAGACAUUAGUAAAUCAAUGUGUUAUUCAAUUAACAUUGUGAUACCCUAUUAUGACCGGCUAUUGACAAAGCAGGCAUGGUUGGAGGUACUUCACGGCCACCCAAUAACAGAAGAACAGCUUGGACCUGCAGAAAAAAUUACAUUAAAAAGAACUCAAGCCACCAAGAAGAAAAUUUGCCUGUGGAUAAAGAAAUGAUACUUCACUAAUCAUUAUAAAAAAUGUAUUCCAUUUCAUGGGAAAGAAGUGAGAUGUUAAAAACAGCAAAUGCUGCACUUUACCAAUAGUUACAUCUUGGGUACCCAUCAAAAAACAACAUAUGCUGCACAGCUUGCAUAUGUUUUGCACUUCAUAGGUCACAACAUCAUAAUGACUAAAAUUAAGUGUGAAUCAAACAUCUGUCCUAUAUCAGAAUAAGGAACAAGAAUAUUUAUUGGAUGUCAUAUCAAGCUGAUAUUAAUAGGGAUUAGCAAAAAUUACCAAAGUAGUAAAACAUGAAAACCUUUAAUGUAACUUUUGGGAAAAUUAAAAUAGAAUGCAAUGAUCAAUAUAGAGUCACAAUAAAAAAAUAAAAAUAAAAUAAAAAAUAAAAAAAUGUCUCUUUGGUGUGGAGUGGGUUCUCUCUGGUACAGUUAAGGAAACUCUCCUUGGGUGGCAUGGAGCGUUUGUGGGGAAAAUCCGUAAAAAGGCGUGGCAAAUGGCCCCCUUAUGUAUAUUUUGGUCAGUUUGGAAGAAAAGAAAUUUGUUGGCUUUUGGGAAUGAGGUGUUGUCAAUCCAAAGGUUGAAACAUUCUUUUGUAUGUAAUCUGUGGUCAUGGGUUAGGGUGUUUAUAGUUUUGAGCCCGCGAUCUCUUGUUAGCUUUUUUUAGUGGCUAGGCUUUAGUUAUAGGUAGGGGUUUCGGCCCGCUACCUUGGUUUAGAGUCGAGGGGCUGCUUUUGUAUACUCCCUGUAUACCUAGAGGGCACUAGUUUGGUGUCUCCUCUUUCAUUUUAAUAUACUUCUCUUUACUUAUCAAAAAAAAAAUAUUACCCAAAAAAUGUAAGAAUAUAUAGGGUACAACAACAACCAAUUAGGAUAUAAAGAGCAUUCAUCAAAUUGUUGCAUUGAUAAAUUCAUUCACCAUCUUAAUACAAACUUUCAUUAACUUAAACAAUAUGCAUAGAUUCCCUCUUCUUUUUAGGCCUUUGGUGCCUUGUAUACAUUGUGUAUACUUUUGCACCCCCUACAUUAGGUGCGCUUUUAAUACAACUGCUUUUACCUACCAAAAAAUAAAAUAAAAAAAAACAAUAUGCAUAGAUAUUCUAAGGGCUAGAAAUCAUCAUCUCCAUCUCUAAGAGGAUGGGAACCAUAAUACAAUUUAUUUACAUAUUUUCUAUUUGUUUCCAACUUUUCUUUUUGAUAUCAUAUUCCACAACAUAAUAUAAUUUUGUUAAUACAUUUUUCUAGUGGAUAAAAUAAGUCUAUAAUGAUUUUUGCUAUCUUGUGCUAUUAGAUAAUAAUUUGAUAAUAAAUUAUCAUUUUUAUGAUAAACAUAAAUAGAAAAUAUAUAAAAAUAGUGAGGUAAAAAAAAAAAAAACAAUUCCCAUUUUAUUAACUUUAUCCCACUUAUAUAGUUAUGACAUUCUUGACAUCAUGAAAAUAUUCUCAAAAUUCUUGAAAAAUGUUGCUGACAUCUAUGAGUUAUCAUAACACCACAUGAUUAUAAUUUUGCAGCCUCAAUAAGAGUAUCUCUUGUGGGUCUCAAGAAGUGGUGCAUUGACCAAUAAUAAAAAAUAAAAAUAAAAUCUCAUUCCAUGCAAGGAGCUUUCAAAAAUCAUCUUUGUUUGCCAACACAGAUUAGAAGUUUUAAAUAAGAUCAGGUCCCCUUCCAUUUCUUGACAAGAAACAAGAAUUUAUGAAUAAAAAGAGAGACUAGAGGAUGAAAUAUCCUUCACGAUCUAUAUAUAUAUAUAAACAGCAAUGAGGGAGGACAAAGUACAAAACAGUCACUCUAGGCCUCAAAAUGGUCAAGGAGGGUAGUAAACCCAUUGAAUAUAUCUAUUGAUCUAGCACUCCUUUUGCCAGACAGUCAACCGCCUGAUUAGCUGAUUCAGGUCUCCAAUUAAAAGAACAAUGCCUCUACUAAGAGCAUGAGUUCUAAUCCAUUGUUUAUCUUCAGUGGCCCUAAUCUCCCAAGGAGGUGCAUGAGAUAAUAACCCAGGAAUCACCUUCCACAAGAAUGCCAAUAUCAUACCGAUAGAUACUUCAAUAUGACAUUAGAGAUUUGGACGAUUAUAUAUCAACAUUGAAAUUUUAUAGAAACUUGUAAUAUUAUAAAUAUUGAAGGAUGUGUAGAUAUAUUGAUAUAUUUCAUGAUUGAAUCCUAUGCACAGAAAAGGAAGUAUUUGCAUUUAGUUAUUUUAAUAGGCAAAAGGAAGCUUUUACAUUUAUGAUAAUGUAUCUACCAACAGCAUCUCAUUUCUAUCUUUUUCUUUGCUUUCCUUUUUUCCUAUCCUCCUUGUAUUCCAGAACAUUUUGAAGAAUUGCACUAAGACCUCAGAUCCAUAGCAGACGCUGCAUUAUUUCGUUUGGGAGAUGCUUAGUGAAAAAAAUCAUAUCCUCAUCAGACAUAUGUGUCCUUGUCACAUAGAAUUAUAGUUCAAAGGCACAAGAUGCACCUAAGGUACAAAGUUCUUCUAGAGCUUAAGUUAAAAUGCAACCCAAGGUGCACACUUGAGCAAAGUGAGGUGCAACUUAGUUGUAUCAAUUUUAUAAAACAUGGUAAAUUUGAACUUGCAAACAUUUUUCAUUAACUCAUUUAUCACCAAAUAUAAUUCAUAAUUUCAAUCCAAGCAACAAAAAAGAAUCAAGAUUCCAAGUAUUUAAAAUAAGCAUGAAACAAAAAUAAUGCAAUUAUUCAAAAUUUCAAUAUACAAUUAGAAAUUUCAACAAUUAAAGUGAAAUAACAAAAUAGACAAGGUGUGCCUCUCUAACAAGGUGUGUGCCUUGGCAGGCAAAGAGCUACAGUUAGGGAAUCAUUGUGCCUCAGGCCUAGGCAUGCAUUUAACACUUAUGCAUGGAAUAUACUUUGCAUUCCUUUGAUCACCGCAAAGGAAAAAGCAGCCACUGUCUUUACGAAUAGAGAAUCAUAAGCUCCAUAGUUUAAGAAUUGGAAAUUAGUUAGAUUCUUGUUUCCUUUGGCUAGAACAUAUGGAAAGAAUAAAGAGAAAGAAACAAAAGGGAGGAUGCCCUGUAAUUAUUCCCAAGUUCAGACAAAAAAAAAAAUCUUAAAUCAUAUUAUAAGCAGGUCGUGAAAGGAGAAGACAAUAUUCCAGCCAAAGAGAUUUGGGACACUAAUGUGCCCACAAAGAUUGAUUGGAUCUUUCAUGAUGGCAGCACUUUGAGUUAAAAUUUUAACAUGGAUCAGUUAGUUAAAAAGAUAGAAUCAUUCCAAUAUGGGUGUUGUACAUGGAUUGGACAGGGAGCAUGCCAAUUAUUUGUUGCUCCACUGUCUAGUGGUUUGAGAUCUGUGGGCAAUUUUUUUUCUAUUUUUGGAGUUCAAUAGGUUAUUCUGAAAACAAUGAAGUAGAUUACAAUGAGUUGGCAUUAUAUGUUGUGGUGGAAAAGGGGAGUAUACGGCAACAGUUACAUUAUGGAUUGCAUGGGAACAUGGAAAUGGUGGAACGGAAAAAACGUUUAACGGCUUACACUUUUUCUUUAACAUCUGACUCUACUGCCUAUGUGGCAAGAUCUGACAAACUAAUUUUCCCUGAGUGUCCCCAAAACAAGGCAUCAUCACAAUCAUUAAUUCAGCCAGUGAAGAGAACUAGUAGAACUACCUUUUCUGUUUUCCGUUAUAACAUCAACAAAAAAAAUCCAUGAUAGGGAUAUUCCUCCCUACAUUUUCCAUUCUACCAAUCAAACAAGAGAAAGGAAAUUUACUUUAUUUUCUUUUCACUUUUCUCUUGUUAAAUUUCCUUUCCUUCCAAUUCUCUACUCCAAAUUGAGUAUCAUCAUUAAUUCACCCAUUGAAGACAACUAAUGAUAACUACCUUUUCUCUUUUUCUUUAGAGCAUUGACUAAAAUCCAUGUUGGACAUAUUUCCUCCCCACAUCUUCCUUCCUACCAAUCAAACAAGCCGAAAAAAUUUACUUCAGCUCUUUGCUCUCUUUUCUUUUGUAUAAUUUUCUCACCUUCCAAUUCUCAGUUCAAAAUUAAGUAUUAUUGUAAAUUCACCAGUGAACAAAACUACCUUUUUUUCUUUAUGAUUACAACAUCAAUGAGAAAUACCCAUAAAAGCAUAUUUCCUUUAUGCAUUUUCCUUUCUCCAAAUAAAAUAAAAAAUAAAAAUAAAAAAGAGAGGAAAUUUACUUCACUGCCUAUUUUCCUUUCACCUGCUUAUUUUCCUCUCCCUCCAAUUCUCAGUUCCAAACUUCAUAUUAACAUGAAAAAUUGAAGAACCUAUCCCACGUCCCUUAAUACUUAUAAAGAAAAAUCAUUUGCAAAGAAACUUGAACUUUUGUAAAUCCAAAAAAUUCCAUGCAUGCUUAAGAUAAUGAAAUUCAAAACAGCGUUGAAAUUGAAAGAAACCUGCACAAAAUGGAGAUUUGCUAUUGUAAUUCAAAGACUGCCAAAAGAUCACCUUGAGUUUCAAAAUUACCCACCAUUAAUGCUUUAUUGAAUAAAGAUUUUCUAUUUAUCAAUUGAAUUGAACUUAUAUAAACACAAAAGAAUUCAUGCAUGAUUAAGGUUUGACGUUCCAAACAGAAACAAUAUUCAGAUAAACCCACUAAAACGGAGAUUAAAUAUGGGCACAUGAUUGCCUGCAAUUUAAAACCUAAUCACCUGCAUUUAAAACCUAUCCACUAUCCCUUGAUGCUUUACUAAAUAUGAACCAGUUACUUGUCCAUUAAUCAGGACUUUUGUACAGCUGAAACAUUAUGCAUGUAUAAGAUAUGAAGUUCAAACAGCAAUAAUAUUCAAUGAACCCCAUGAAAAUUGGAAACUAGAGCGGGCACAAAAUCACCUUUACUCUAUGACCAGUCCACUACACUUAAUGCUUAAUUACAUAAGAAUCUGUUAUUCAUCAACCAACUAGAAUUUGCGUAAAUUUUGUGCAUGCAUAAGACUUGAAGUUCAAAGUAGUAACAAAAUUCAAAGGAAUACUGAACUGAAGACAAAAAAAGGGGCAAAAAAACAAUAACCUUUUCCGGUGACACAGAGUCAAAUACAUAAACCUGACCCUGGAAAGAGAGAGUGAGCUGAUUCUGAUUAUCGCUGCCACCGGGCUGAACAGUAAGUGCACCCCGACUAUCAGCAAGAUUUCCAGGAUCAGCCUGCACAUCCCCUUCCAUGCCCUCACCGCUACCGCCCUCAUCAUGAUCUUCAUCCAUAGAACCACCAUUGCUCAUAUGGUGCAUCCCAUGAUCAUGCUCUUGCAUGUAAUGCUGCACAUGGAUAGGGUGAUGCUGACCAUCUGGUCUGUGGAUUCCCGCAUUGUUUCCAUGGAUUCCAUCCAUCUAUUCAGCUGCUCCACAUUCAGAUCAGUUCAGACCUAACAAUUCAAACAGAAGGAAAAAAAAAAAAAACGUAACUUCCUGUAUGGCUGCUGAGAAAAUUGAGGAAAAGUAUUCAAAACCCCAAGCCUUAUUUUCUGUGUGCGGCUGUUUCGCAUUUGUCAGUUCAGAACAGUCAUC
rnacentral:lncRNA from 1 species